rnacentral:rRNA from 1 species
GACGAACGCUGGCGGCGUGCCUAACACAUGCAAGUCGAACGAAGUGGCGAACGGGUGAGUAACGCGUAAUCAACCUGCCCUUCAGAGGGGGACAACAGUUGGAAACGACUGCUAAUACCGCAUACUGAAGGAGGGGAUUGCGUCUGAUUAGCUCGGUGGAGGGGUAACGGCCCACCAAGGAGAGGAUCCGUAGCCGGUCUGGGAGGAAGAACGGCCACAUUGGGACUGAGACACGGCCCAGACUCCUGCGGGGAGCAGCAGUGGGGAAACUUCCGCAAUGGGCGAAAGUCUGACGGAGCAACGGCGCGUGAGUGAUGACGGCCUUCGGGUUGUAAAGCUCUGUUAAUCGGGACGCGGUACCGGAAUAGAAAGCCACGGCUAACUACGUGCCAGCAGCCGCGGUAAUUC